GUGGGGAAUAUUGGACAAUGGGCGCAAGCCUGAUCCAGCCAUGCCGCGUGCAGGAAGACGCAUCUAUGGUGUGUAAACUGCUUUUGUACGGGAAGAAACACUCCCUCGUGAGGGAGCUUGACGGUACCGUAAGAAUAAGGAUCGGCUAACUCCGUGCCAGCAGCCGCGGUAAUACGGAGGAUCCAAGCGUUAUCCGGAAUCAUUGGGUUUAAAGGGUCCGUAGGCGGUUUAAUAAGUCAGUGGUGAAAGCCCAUCGCUCAACGAUGGAACGGCCAUUGAUACUGUUAGACUUGAAUUACAAGGAAGUAACUAGAAUAUGUAGUGUAGCGGUGAAAUGCUUAGAUAUUACAUGGAAUACCAAUUGCGAAGGCAGGUUACUACUUGUGGAUUGACGCUGAUGGACGAAAGCGUGGGGAGCGAACAGGAUUAGAAACCCCGGUAGUCC
rnacentral:rRNA from 1 species